CUAACUAAAUCAGCAAAUGCCAUUCAAUUACGCUAAUGAACAAAGAAGAAGCAUAAAUAUUACCAGAAAAAAAGAAGAAAUUUUUGAGUGACUAACUCCCACAAACUCUCAUUUUUUUUCUAGAGCAAGACGCUGUUACAAUCAACUAAAUGAACCAGCUUAGAUCACAUGGCUUUCAAUAUUAAACUAAUAGGAUACUUCUUUCAAGAAACUGUUGCUAAAAUAGCUCUGCAAUCCCUGCAAAACCAUUAUCUCAACAAACAACCCCUAAGCAUACAACCAUACAAUGUAUGGUUUAAAUUCUUUAACUAUUGUUGG
rnacentral:misc_RNA from 1 species